rnacentral:rRNA from 1 species
UACGUAGGGGGCAAGCGUUAUCCGGAUUUACUGGGUGUAAAGGGAGCGUAGGUGGCUAGAUAAGUCAGGUGUGAAAGCCCGGGGCUCAACCCCGGGAUUGCACUUGAAACUAUUUAGCUAGAGUGCAGGAGAGGUAAGUGGAAUUCCUAGUGUAGCGGUGAAAUGCGUAGAUAUUAGGAGGAACACCAGUGGCGAAGGCGACUUACUGGACUGUAACUGACACUGAGGCUCGAAAGCGUGGGGAGCAAAC